AUGUUGUUGAAAGGGAUACAUCAGUUGAGGCAAAAGUCAUGGAGAGUAUAUGCAAGAGGCUACGUAAACUAUGGGUAUUGGCUGUUGCUUUCAGCCGGGAACAUCUUCCAAACUAUGAUGGAGAAGUUCCUGGUACCAGAAUCCAUGAGACAGUUAAAGGACCUAUGCUAUCUUGCUUUCAGGACAUUCGAAUGCACCGUAAUUUUACCAAGCACACUAACGAAUAAACUUCACCAGAUGCAGCUGCUAGACUUUGGUAAUCAUAGCAAUGGCCAAAUUUGGGAAUUUACCCUUGAUAACCUUAUGAACCUGCGAUACAUAAUUUGUGAGAACUUAGACUGUCCUAACAUAGGCAGGCUGAUCUCACUCCAAGCGUUACCAAGCAGCAGGUUCACUGUGAGGAAUGAACAUGGUUAUGAGAUAAAGCAGCUUAAGGACCUAAACAAGCUUCGUGGCAGCUUGACAAUCUAUGGCCUUGAAAAUGUUAAAAGCAAGGAGGAAGCUGUUGUAGCCAAUAUAGGUGCCAAGGAUCAGUUGAAGGAACUGAAGUUGGAAUGGGGUGAUGAUGGUACAAGGUGCAGUUCAGAAGUUGAAGCAGAGGUGGGCCUGCGCCCUCCCGUAGGUCUUGAAGAACUGAUUAUCUCAGGCUAUAAAAGCUCGAGAAACCUAGAUUGGAUGGUGGGUAAACAGAAUGGUGGCCCAGAGAACCUGCAAAAACUUGUGUUGUUUGGAUGGAGCCAACCGGGAUCUUGUCCUGAACUUGAGGCGUUCCUUCAUCUUCGUGUGCUCUGGCUUGGUCACUGCAGGUGGGACACAUUGCCAGCCAGUAUUGAGCACCUCACAUCGCUCAAGGAACUGGAAAUCGAAGGGUGCUUGAAUAUCCGGUCGCUUCCAACACUGCCCCGAUCUCUUGAGAAGUUUUCUGUUGCAUACUGCAGUGGUGAGUUCACGAAGUCAUGUCAAACAGUCAGACAUCCAAAUUGGCAGAAGAUCAAGCACAUCCCCGACCAAAGAUUUGAAGACCCAGCAUGUAAGACUGUAAUCCUGUUUUCUACUUUUUUUGUAUCAUGA
rnacentral:rRNA from 1 species